GCGCCUAAUAAGAUUCAUAAAGGUUGCUGCAAUUUAGGGACGUCCUGGGUUUAGGCUGAAUUACGGUGUUCUGUUUAGCAAAUAUUAGGAUUUAUCACUCCUUUAUCUCAGCAUUAACAGUUCCCAUGUUUGAAUGAUCGUUGCGCUAAAACCAAUUAAAAUAAAAGGAUUUUCUCCAAUUGAAGUAAUCCAGGGUUAACGAUUCACACGACCCUGCUUCCUUUGAUCAAACGACGCAUCUGAUUCGAUCAAGAUGUGCUCCUUCGUUUUCUCCUACUUUUCUGUAGAGUUUCUAAUGACGAGGAUAUUUGUUUGUUUUUUUAGUCAAGGUGAUUAUACAGAUUGCACUAAAGCAGUGACCACCAAAGAUAUCAUGAACAUUAACAGUACAAGAAGAUAUUGAGAUCGAAGUUGAGGAGGUUUUUUGGUUUGGUGAGACAAUCUCAGCGUUCUUCAUCAAAACGCUGGAAUUGCCAUAGUUGGAAUAAUCUCGGGUUCUUUUGUAUGUGGUACAUGACUAAUAGCUCAUAGUUGGAACUGCCAUACACUUGCGCGCAGGUAAUGCUUUUACAUAUGGCGUUGCGAGUAAUAGGAAGACACACUGGUUAUCCAAGUAAUUUUCGUAUAUGCCUCAAAUUAGCAAAGCACCUGAGCAUGAAAGGCUCACUGUAACAGUCUUCCGUUGGACUUGACAUAUGUUUUUUUGCUCAUACAAGUUUUAUUUCUGCUGAGACAUAACCAUCUAUCGUCUUGAUAUUAUUUAGAAAAUUUUCACAUGCUAAUUUGUGGAUCAUUUUGGGUUUAUGUUAUAUGGUUGAUGAUUAUGAAAGAGUAGAUGAUUUUGUAUUUUCUUUUUA